UGGGUGAUCUGCCCUGCACUCUGGGAUAAGCCUGGGAAACUGGGUCUAAUACCGGAUAUACCUCAUGGACUGCAUGGUUUGUGGGGAAAGCUUUUGCGGUGCGGGAUGGGCCCGCGGCCUAUCAGCUAGUUGGUGGGGUAAUGGCCUACCAAGGCAACGACGGGUAGCUGGUCUGAGAGGAUGACCAGCCACACUGGGACUGAGACCACGGCCCAGACCUCCGUACGGGAGC
rnacentral:rRNA from 1 species